rnacentral:lncRNA from 1 species
CCACCCACGCAUCCACCCAUCCAUGCAUCCAUCCAUCCCCUUGCUACACCAUGCAAUCAAUACUCAUUUACUAAUAUGGGACUGUGGGGAAUAUAAAACUGAGUACUAAAUAUAUCUGGGCAGCAUCUAACAGUACUCGUUCUGAUAACUAAUAUUUAUUGAACAGUACCAGAAAUAUAUUUUAAAAAAUGUUGAGUAGGGCCCAGAUCUGCUUUCAAGAAGAAGCUGCCCAGAUCUGCUGAGCAAGAACAGUGCUUCCGGGAACACCUGAGCUAAGGGCUCUCUGGCAGUUUCUUGUCCAGGGAAACCUUCAUAGAAAUGACAUUACGCUUGAGCCAUGGAUGAUGAUAAGGAUUCUGCCAGCCUGCCCAGAUGGCUGUCUGCCCACCUCAGCGGAAAAAGGCGUUGUGGCAUCAGUUCCUGCAGCGGCGCUACUGGGGCCACCAGAUGUGCUUCCUGCCAGCUAGAGCUCUCGGCUAAAACCCUCCUCUCCACUCUGCUCUUCACCCCAUGGAGUCCAGAAAGUUCUGCAUGUGAACGUGAGGGACACUGAGGACCAGUCCUGGGUAGCCAAGGAGGUCCAGCACUCGCAAUUCCCUGGUGGCAGAAGGAAAUCCAGCAGGCAUCCUAAGAAAAGAGAAGUUGCAAGUGCCCUUCUGCAAAGUGACCCGCCCCUGGUGGUGCCAGCCUCUCUCUGGUUAACCUGAGCCCGGGGGAGUGAAGAAGCCAAUCAGAAGACAGAGAGCUUGCUCGGAGGUGAUCCCUUAACCAAAAUCGGGGUAAGUGCCCAGGUGCCACCCCAUUCCAGGUGCCAGAGCUGGAACAUGCAGUUCCGGAGGCCAUGGUUGUGUGGUGCCUACCUUGCGUUCCAGGUCCCUUCUAUAUGGGGCCUCAGGCAGUGGAGGAAUGUACCCUGCCUGGGGGGCAUUUCACCUAUUUGCCCCACACCCUGGGCCUGUGUCCUUCUGUCCUGCACGGAACCUGUGUCCUUCCCCCACCCCUCCCCUACAUAAUGAGUCUCUUCUAUCACACAAUAACUCCUUGGUGGAAAUAAGCACACAGCCUGGGGUACACUGGGCAGGAGGAUGACGCAUGGGGGUCUCCUUCCCUCCUUCUGAAGCCCCAUGGCGAUCCUGUCCCACUCCUUAAACUAUCUGUAUCUCCACACUCUCCCUGUACUCCAUGAAGUCCCCUGAAGGGCAAAAGACAACUCUACUUGCUUUUCUAGAGGACAUGGGCCUUGGCAGGGACCUGGGUACAGCUCCUGCCAAAAGCACCGUGGGCAUCAGCCCCAGGUAAGGGAGCACUCAUGGACCAGCCCCAGGUAAGGGAGGACUCAUGGACCAAUCCAGGGAUAAAACGGAACACGAGUUUUAUAUCCUGGUGGGCGGGGGGGGGAAGGGGGCAGGUGUCAGCAGCGAUGGAAAUGUGAGGACACCAGGCCUGGAGCUUCAGUGACUUGGCCAAAGUCCCACGGCUGCCCUCGGUGUGCACUCAGGCUCUGGAACAUCAUGGCUCAUCACGUUUAACCUCCUGUUUCCAUCUGGGUGAUGAAAAGCUAAGGGGAGUUAACGCGCCGCUGCAGCUCAUUGUCAAAGCCAGCUUCAGGCAGAGAACGAAGGAGGGAGCGACUUCGGGGCUGGGUGAGCUGGAUUCUGUUCCUGCUCUGCCACCACCAUAAGCGGUCCCAGCUGUUACAACGCGGCUCUGCACCUCCACUUCCUCCUCUGUAAAAUGAGUGUCCUCGCCUCUGUCCUCGCUCCCUCUCAAGACUUCUGGGGGAGGGAUGACACGCUAUGAAAAUGCUGAACCUGGACUCAGGAUGCGGCGCAGGUGGAAUGGGGGGAGAAAUGCUCCCACGUGUGCACACACUCACCCAUCCAGACUUCGCCGAAUUGUCCAGACCCGAGUUUCCUGACCAGCCUGAGAGACUGCCGGGGGAUCUCCCAUUCAUCCUGGGCCCAGGGAUUCUGCGGGGCCGGGCGCACACAGGGCAGGGUUAAUGUUUUCCCGCAGGCAAGUGGUAGCAGAUGUCAAGGGUUAAGGACAAUUUAGGAGGUAAGAAUUUCCAGGCUGCACUUGUGUCGGGUGCCUCGGGCGAUGAGCCCAGGAGCCCGCUCUCCACGCAGUGACGCUUCCCAAGCUGGUGCUUUAGACCCCUCACUUGCCUGGCUGCUCUGAGGCCCCGUCCCUGAUGGCUUCUGACAAUUUGGUGUCCUUUGUAAAGACGACCUCAGAUCCUAUCAGCUUCAGUUUCACAAAACCUGGAUCCCCUGCCUCUGUGGUAUGUCUGGACUGCCCUGGGCAGGCAGGGCCUGGCUCUGAGAUGAAGAUUUCUCAGCACUGAAGGACCGCCUGCCUUUGAGCUGUGAAACUAGUCUAUCCUCACAUAGACACCAGUAAACUGAGGCUUGAGAGGCUCAAGGACACCCCGGAGGCCACGAAGGGUAGAACUCACUCCCCUGCUUCCAUCCCUGUCUUGCAUUCACUGCUGUGGCUCGGAGAAGCAGAGGGGUCUUGCUUUGGAGUUGUGUGUGUGUGUGCAUAUGUACGUGUAAGGUGUGUACAUGUGUUGCACACGUGUUCAUUGCAUCUGUGCAUAUGUGCACAUGUAUAUGUGUGCGUGUGUGUGUAUAUGUGCAUGCGUGGACAUGUGUAUGUGUUUGCAUGUGUAUGUGUGCACACAUGCCUGUGUAUGCACAUGUGUGUAUAUGUGUGCAUUUGUGCAUAUGUGCAUGUGUGUUCAUGUGUGCAUGUGUAUGUGCGUGUGGUGGUGAUGAUGGUUGAACAGUCCUGCAGCCCUGGUCCCAUAUGGCCUAUUCCCAGCUUGGACUGGCUUCCUGGGGUGGACAUGGACAGGAAAAGAUGCCAGACUCAUAGAGAACCCCUUCUUCCUCCACACCAGAUUGGGCAGGGGGUGGGGAGGCUUUCACCUUAGCAAUAGGCAAUGGUUGAAAUAUCAUUUCCAGGGUGACAUGACAUGAUGUUUGGGAUUUACUUCGAAAGAACAGGGGUGGAGCGGGAGAUACAGAUGAAACAAGACUGGCUCAGUUGAUAAUUGUUGAAGCUGGCUGUUGGGUACCAGGGGUUCCACUAAACUAUUUUCUCUACUUCUGUGUAUGUUUGAAAUGUCCUGGAACAACAAUAAAACACUUAUGUCAUCUCCAGUGAUUCCCAAAUUAUUUCUUGUACAGAGGUGCUCUGCCACAAAAAUGAAAUAGUGACAAUAUCCAAUAUGAAUAUAAAUAUAAAAUGCAUAUAUCUAUGUGUAUGUAUAUGUAUGUAUAUGCAUUCAUUGGCAUAUUCCAAGAAAUCCUGCACAGAGCACCCCAGCUUUCCAAUGCACCCUUCCUGCUCCCCAACCUGGUCCUGCCCCUUUGUGGGGCACCAAGGCCUCAUGAUGUCCCCAGAGAAUCACAGGGUGCUAUGACAGCUUUUCAUACUCUGGGUUUCCACUCUGGCUGCUGUUCUUGAGCCACAGAUGGAACCAAUGGACAGCCCAAGGGUGCUCCCACCAGGUGACAACUCUGUCCAUUCUCAUCGCCCCAACCACAGGGAACCAGACUCAUAUUCCAGACACUCUCUCUCCCUUUCCUCCUCUGAUGUCACUGUCACCAUCUCCUCUCCAGUUAAAAUUGGCUACAAGGCUGUACCUGGUCCCUGUGGACAGCUUCCUGAUGAGCAAAGCAUUCUUCAUACUGCCUGGGAAGCCCCUGGGUCACCCUAGCUUGCCACGUUGUAGAGCUUGGGAAGCCUCUCAGCCUCUUAGAUGAUGUGGUCACUGGUGCUUUGGGCUCUGAUGCUUACUGUUGGCCCCCAGCAAGUCACUUCCUGUUUCAGGGACUCCCUUUCCUCAUCUGUCAAGUGGAUUAGUAUCUUACAGACGAAAAGCUAGUGGCCAGUGAGCACCAGGGACCAUAAUAGGGUUCGGUGCAACACAUGCAUUAACAGCCCCAAACUGGAAACAACUCAAUGCCCACAACAUGAGAAUGGCUAACUUGACUCUGGAAUGGUCACACCCGGGAUUCUGUAUAGCAAUGAACAUGAACAGGCUCACCAUCCUCAACCACAUGAAUGAAUCUGUUACUGGUUGAAUCAUGUGCGCUCCCAAUUCAUAUGUUAAAGUCCUAACCCUCGGUCCUGAGAAUGUGGCUAUAUGUGGAGACAGAGCCUUUAAAGGGGUGAUUAAGUUAAAAUGAGGUCAUAUGGGUGGGCCCUAAUCCAAAUUGACAGGUGUCCUUACAAGAAGAGAUUAGGACACAGACAUGCAUGGAGGGACGGCCACGUGAGGACACAGAGAAGACGGCCAUCGGCAAGCCAAGGAGAGAGCUCCCGGGAGGAGCCAACGCUGCUGACACUUUGGUCGUGGACUUCCAGCCUCCAGAGCUGUGAGAUAAUAAGCUUCUGUGGUGGAAGCCACCCAGUCUGUGCCACUUUGUUACGGCAGCCCAGGAAACUAACAUAGAAUCCCACAAACACUGCUGAGUGACAGAAGCAAGACACACAGAAACAAAAACAGUGAUUCUAUCUACAUCAAGCUGAAAAAACAGACAAGACAUGGUGGCGAAACCACAGAGAAGAGCAAGGAAGGAUUUCCAUCCAAGUCAGGACAGCAGGUAGCUCUUGAGGGUGGGGGUUGAAUCAGGAAGGAGCCCAAGUGGGGGAGUGAGGGGGCUCCUGGUGGUCUGGGAUGCUCUUUCUCUUGGCUGUCAUUACACAGGGAUUUGUUUAUUAUUACCCUAUAUGAUUUAGAAUUACACAUUCAUACUUCAUGCAAGCUUUAUAUGUGUUUUAUAUUUUACACCAAAAAAAUUAAGAAGGAAAGAAAGCCAAAUGACAGAGAAAGAGAGAAAACCCCUGAGGGUGAUGGCAGCUGUUUUGCUCAGUCAGUGGAUUUGAACUCAUGAGUGUCUAGACUGGCAUGGGCUCCCCUCAAUUACCACCCUCUUCUCUUACAUCACGGCACAGGCCACUUCCUAACAUAUGCUACCUGCAGCCUCUGGCUGAGAUGAUCUUGAAGGAUUCUUUGAGCUCCCCCUAAUCCUUGAUUCCAAAGAGGCUGGUGGUUAAGGGCUCAGGGUUCCCCCUUCCCUGGCCCCCACUGGCCUCGGUGUUCCUGCUGACUGGGCAGCAGGGCCAGUCUGGCGUGGGACCACCCCUGUCCACCCGGCUUCCUGUGCCCAGGUGGUUUCCAGCCGGGACAGGGAGGACUGUGUGGACAGCCCCCAUGUCAACUCCCGGGCAGGGCCUGAAUUGGGAGGGACACAAGCCCGGAAGCUGCUGGUUCUCCUGGCAGUCACCCCUUCCCCUCUCACUCCAGGGCCAGGCCUCUGGAGGCGCCUUCCCGGGAGGAGCAGGGCAAGGAAGGCAGGCAAAGCCACCAAGCCUACCUUUGUUGGUUUCACUCUCUCUGAUAAGAAAGGA